UACGUAGGGGGCGAGCGUUGUCCGGAUUUACUGGGCGUAAAGAGCGCGUAGGCGGCCAGCCAAGUCGUGCGUGAAAGACCUCGGCUCAACCGGGGGUGGUCGUGCGAUACUGGAGGGCUGGAGGCCGGAAGGGGGAAGCGGAAUUCCCGGUGUAGUGGUGGAAUGCGUAGAUAUCGGGAGGAACACCAGUGGCGAAGGCGGCUUCCUGGACCGGUCCUGACGCUGAGGCGCGAAAGCGUGGGGAG
rnacentral:rRNA from 1 species